UACGAAGGGGGCUAGCGUUGUUCGGAAUUACUGGGCGUAAAGCGCACGUAGGCGGAUAUUUAAGUCAGGGGUGAAAUCCCAGAGCUCAACUCUGGAACUGCCUUUGAUACUGGGUAUCUCGAGUAUGGAAGAGGUGAGUGGAAUUCCGAGUGUAGAGGUGAAAUUCGUAGAUAUUCGGAGGAACACCAGUGGCGAAGGCGGCUCACUAGUCCAUUACUGACGCUGAGGUGCGAAAGCGUGGGGAGCAAACAGG
rnacentral:rRNA from 1 species